rnacentral:piRNA from 1 species
UGGGCAGCCCGUGCUUAAACC